AUUAUUUUGUUUGCAGACCAGGAAACCAGGGCUGAGACACUAAGUAAUUUGCCAGGUAGCAAGCAUGUGGAUGAGUCCGCAUCUGUCAGAUUCUGGAGCCCGAGGCAUUCUCCUGGCUGUGCAAUCCAAAGGGAGCACACACAGGAGGCGUGGUUUCCCCUGCUCCACAACCGUGUGUGUGUGUGUGUGUGUGUGUGUGUGUGUGUGUGUGUGUGUUUACUUGCCGUAGUCCUCCCCGGUCCUGUUGCAAAGACGCUUUCAUCGAAUCCAGUUUACCUCACCAUCUUUUUGUUGCAAAACAACUUGUGUUUAAGUAUAUGAAGACAUAUGAAGGUUAAAACAAUGAAUAUAUAAGUGCAGGAAGUAUUAAGAAGUGAGGAAAUGGAAGAAGCCUGGCACAUUUGCAUUAUCAAGCUCUUGAUUCACUAAAACGGGAGAAAACAAAAUCAAGUAACAUGAUUCCUAUGCCUGAAUAAAAAGCCCAAUUGAAAAAAAUGAAACGUUUUAUUUGACCACAAGGGGGUGCAAAUUCCCGAGUUGAAUUUCAAAGGAAAAAAAA